CAGUCGCCACGGUAAUACGAAGGGUGCAAGCGUUACUCGGAAUUACUGGGCGUAAAGCGUGCGUAGGUGGUGGUUUAAGUCCGUUGUGAAAGCCCUGGGCUCAACCUGGGAAUUGCAGUGGAUACUGGAUCACUAGAGUGUGGUAGAGGAUAGUGGAAUUUCCGGUGUAGCAGUGAAAUGCGUAGAGAUCGGAAGGAACAUCUGUGGCGAAGGCGGCCAUCUGGGACAACACUGACGCUGAGGCACGAAAGCGUGGGGAGCAAACAGGAUUAGAUACCCCGGUAGUCCCUGUCUCUUAUAC
rnacentral:rRNA from 1 species